rnacentral:lncRNA from 1 species
AGAUAUUCAUGGAUAAAUAAAUAAUUUUUGAAAAGAACACAAAAUUCGCGAUAUUUUUAUAACACACCUCGUACUAAAGGUGAAGGCACAAUAGUGUAUUUAAAUACAGUAUGACAACUAUUUGAUCACUUACCAUUUCCUUUGUUAAAAUAAACUUUUCAAUAAAAAAAGGCAAGUUUACUUAGUAGAAUUUGUGAAAUAGAGAGUUAUUAGUGAACAUAAUAUUGCUCAGCUUUUCAAGUUUUUCUUUUUAUUUUGUAAUUAAUAGUGGUGAAGUCCUUAGAAUCAAGUUUUUAGUAAAAGCUCAGUUUUUCUACAUUUUUCUUGGUUAUUUUAUUAAGCUUCAGCAUAGAUGAAAAAACUAAAUGCUACGAAAAUAGAAGUAAUCAAAAGCCUUUUUGAUUUAAACACAAAACACAGAAAAGUUCCAAGAAUUGUUGGAGCUUCUGUGGCUGUGGUUUUAAAAUUGUUGUUUACACAAAAAAAGCAAGCCUGAACGAAUGCCAAUUUUGAACGCCAGACUGGAAAGAUCAGUGUUCGAUUCUGUAACUUUUUCCACACGAUUUGACGGAUCGCGUUUCUGCUUUGAAAAAUUAUUCUAGAAUGCCUACGAAAACAAGAAACCGAGCCUCGAUGGAGCAACUAAUUCGGAUGAUGGAUUUUUUCACAGAAACCACGGGUUUGGCAGGGUCUCGGUUCCAGAAGCGUCAUGGAAUAUCGGACGGCAAUUGGAAGUGGAGCAAAUUAGCUAGUAUGGAGCGAUUUGAAAAGCCGUACAAGCAUCAAGGUCCGAUGCCGGAAAAGAAAGCGCGCAAUUACAGGAAACACUCCCAUGAUGAGGAGCCACUCACCGAAUUAGGGACAGGCCAUUGCCCUUGUAGGUAAUGACUAUGUCCACUGCCACGAAAUCGUUCCUGAAACUGUGCCUGUAGAGGAGGAACCGCAACGGUAAUUAGAGGAGGGUGAAGAAAGUCUAAUUGUCGAGAUUCCUUCAUUUUCAAAUGGGGUCGAUUUUUAGAUGCAUGCAUCGACUCCUGCGACUCAAACUACAAAAAUUCCACGAAGAAGCAGUAAGAGAAGACUUGUGGAAGAUGUGAACGAUACGCGAAACUUUUACAAAUUGCGCAAACAGAGCGGAUGCCUUAAAAACGUUAGCAGAGUCGAGUGCAGCGUCCACCCAAGUUGCAUGCAGGCAAACUGAUGCCUUACAGUUUUUAGCUGGAAGUAAUGCGGCGACCACGCAGGCAUUAACAGAGGCUAUGUCCACAAUGCGUGAGAGAUUACAAGCUUGUGCAGCGGACUUCAACAAUUUAGCAGGGGCAAUUAGCCGUAUGUAAAUAUGGAUGUAAAUAAA